rnacentral:rRNA from 1 species
GAUGAACGCUGGCGGCGUGCCUAAUACAUGCGAGUCGAGCGAACGGACGAGAAGCUUGCUUCUCUGAUGUUAGCGGCGGACGGGUGAGUAACACGUGGAUAACCCACCUAUAAGACUGGGAUAACUUCGGGAAACCGGAGCUAAUACCGGAUAAUAUUUUGAACCGCAUGGUUCAAAAGUGAAAGACGGUCUUGCUGUCACUUAUAGAUGGAUCCGCGCUGCAUUAGCUAGUUGGUAAGGUAACGGCUUACCAAGGCAACGAUGCAUAGCCGACCUGAGAGGGUGAUCGGCCACACUGGAACUGAGACACGGUCCAGACUCCUACGGGAGGCAGCAGUAGGGAAUCUUCCGCAAUGGGCGAAAGCCUGACGGAGCAACGCCGCGUGAGUGAUGAAGGUCUUCGGAUCGUAAAACUCUGUUAUUAGGGAAGAACAUAUGUGUAAGUAACUGUGCACAUCUUGACGGUACCUAAUCAGAAAGCCACGGCUAACUACGUG